CCCCCUUGGCCCUCUCCCACAACGACGGCCUCCGGACCCGAGGGACGGCGAACAUCCGCUCGCGCUGCUCGUCCCGCCUCCGCGCGAUCCUCUUUAUCGCCUGCUCGAGUUCCUCGUACUCCCGCCAGAGUUCCUCCGUGUCCCGCUCCACCUCUUCCAUCCUCUGCUGCCGAUCUUCCACCGUCCACGAGCCAGGAGCCGGAACGUUCUCCAUCUCCCACUGGGCCUCGCCCAUCCCCUGCUCGAGAUCUUCGUCGGCUGUCCACAAGGGACCGAGACCGAUGCCCGCAGCUCGUCGGGUGACUCCAACGUAUCCGGCCGGCCGUCUGCCGAAGCAGUUGAUCAGCCCCAUCGAUAUUUCGUCUUGGUCGCCUCGCCGCACACCUUGGCCUUUUAUCAAGUUUAUUUACGGGCGCAAUUAGCGGCAGCACGGGACGACUUAUGGAAGGAGACAGCAAAGUCGAGUCCAUCCCGGUUUCGGAAUCAGGCGUGCGCCAUGGGCCGUUGUUCAUGGGCCUUGGGCCGUGUGAUUAAGCUCUUGGUGCCGGUACCCUAGGAACAAGACGGCUGUCAUCCUAACGCGUGAGUCACCGAGAAAUCACGCGUGCCACCAAAGCACGGAAUCUUUUACUACCUGGCUGCAGCAGUCGAGCUCGAGACGAAGAAGGUGCCCGGAACGUACGACGGCAAAGUCGAGCUGGAGAAAGUUGUUGCGUCCGUCCUGACGGAGUGAUGGGCCUGAUUAAAACUGCUGGACUGGAAUGUGUAUUGAUCUGUCUCGGUCUCUUUGUCCGCCUCUCUGCUGCACUGUACCGAUCUCUCCCAUAGCCAAAACCAAUCUCUCUCUCUCUCUCUCUCAUGCGUGUGAUCAUGUGUCCUGUCCGAUUUCAAUUACUUCUGUGUGAAAAUUGAAAGUUUCGACACGUUUAAGUCUCCAUUUGUCGAAAUCAAAGAGUCUGCACUGAAAAU
rnacentral:lncRNA from 1 species